rnacentral:misc_RNA from 1 species
CAUUAACAAAUCAUCCAUAGUGCUACGCAAGUAGCACUAUAUACACCCCGAGCCUGGGAAGAGCAGCAAUGCUUGGAACGGCUUUGGUAGGCUGCGCCGCAAGGCGCUGGCCACAUAGACGCUUGCUUGGUUUGACAGAGUUACAGUUGCAUCUAAACGAAUACAACUUUUAACAAUGGAUCUCUUGGCUCUUGCAUCGAU